UGGGGAAUUUUGGACAAUGGGCGCAAGCCUGAUCCAGCCAUGCCGCGUGCGGGAAGAAGGCCCUCGGGUUGUAAACCGCUUUUGUCAGGGAAGAAAUCUUCUGAGUUAAUACCUCGGGAGGAUGACGGUACCUGAAGAAUAAGCACCGGCUAACUACGUGCCAGCAGCCGCGGUAAUACGUAGGGUGCAAGCGUUAAUCGGAAUUACUGGGCGUAAAGCGUGCGCAGGCGGUUUUGUAAGACAGAGGUGAAAUCCCCGGGCUCAACCUGGGAACUGCCUUUGUGACUGCAAGGCUUGAGUGCGGCAGAGGGGGAUGGAAUUCCGCGUGUAGCAGUGAAAUGCGUAGAUAUGCGGAGGAACACCGAUGGCGAAGGCAAUCCCCCUGGGCCUGCACUGACGCUCAUGCACGAAAGCGUGGGGAGCAAA
rnacentral:rRNA from 1 species